GACGAACGCUGGCGGCGUGCUUAACACAUGCAAGUCGAACGGAAAGGCCCUGCUUUUGUGGGGUGCUCGAGUGGCGAACGGGUGAGUAACACGUGAGUAACCUGCCCUUGACUUUGGGAUAACUUCAGGAAACUGGGGCUAAUACCGGAUAGGAGCUCCUGCUGCAUGGUGGGGGUUGGAAAGUUUCGGCGGUUGGGGAUGGACUCGCGGCUUAUCAGCUUGUUGGUGGGGUAGUGGCUUACCAAGGCUUUGACGGGUAGCUGGCCUGAGAGGGUGACCGGCCACAUUGGGACUGAGAUACGGCCCAGACUCCUACGGGAGGCAGCAGUGGGGAAUAUUGCACAAUGGGCGGAAGCCUGAUGCAGCAAUGCCGCGUGCGGGAUGACGGCCUUCGGGUUGUAAACCGCUUUCGCCUGUGACGAAGCGUGAGUGACGGUAACGGGUAAAGAAGCACCGGCUAACUACGUG
rnacentral:rRNA from 1 species